rnacentral:tRNA from 2 species
GGAGAGGUGGGUGAGUGGCUUAAACCAGCUGAUUGCUAAUCAGCCGUACGGAGUAAAUUCGUACCGGGGGUUCGAAUCCCCCUCUCUCCG